CACAUCUUAGCUAAGUGGUAGAGCGUGUGGCUUUUAACCAUGUGGUUGUGGGUUCAAUCCCCACAGACGGGA
rfam:Cicer arietinum chromosome Ca6, whole genome shotgun sequence.